GUCGAACGAAACUUCUUUAUCACCGAGUGCUUGCACUCACCGAUAAAGAGUUGAGUGGCGAACGGGUGAGUAACACGUGGGCAACCUGCCCAAAAGAGGGGGAUAACACUUGGAAACAGGUGCUAAUACCGCAUAACCAUAGUUACCGCAUGGUAACUAUGUAAAAGGUGGCUAUGCUACCGCUUUUGGAUGGGCCCGCGGCGCAUUAGCUAGUUGGUGGGGUAAAGGCUUACCAAGGCAAUGAUGCGUAGCCGAACUGAGAGGUUGAUCGGCCACAUUGGGACUGAGAAACGGCCCAAACUCCUACGGGAGGCAGCAGUAGGGAAUCUUCCACAAUGGGCGAAAGCCUGAUGGAGCAACGCCGCGUGGGUGAAGAAGGUCUUCGGAUCGUAAAACCCUGUUGUUAGAGAAGAAAGUGCGUGAGAGUAACUGUUCACGUUUCGACGGUAUCUAACCAGAAAGCCACGGCUAACUACGUGCCAGCAGCCGCGGUAAUACGUAGGUGGCAAGCGUUAUCCGGAUUUAUUGGGCGUAAAGGGAACGCAGGCGGUCUUUUAAGUCUGAUGUGAAAGCCUUCGGCUUAACCGGAGUAGUGCAUUGGAAACUGGGAGACUUGAGUGCAGAAGAGGAGAGUGGAACUCCAUGUGUAGCGGUGAAAUGCGUAGAUAUAUGGAAGAACACCAGUGGCGAAAGCGGCUCUCUGGUCUGUAACUGACGCUGAGGUUCGAAAGC
rnacentral:rRNA from 1 species